CUGCUUCCCCUGCCUACCCCCAUCCCGACACUGCUUUUGCUCUCUGCAGUCUUGGGUCCCUGCCUCCCCUUCCCCCCCCCCAUCUCCCCUUCCCCUCAAAGUCCCUAUUGUCCUGCCUGCCCCACCACCAUUCACACCCUUACUUUUGCUCCAUACCAGCAGGUUCUGUCCCUGCUUCUGCCUGAGGCACUGAGCAUGACCCCAGCAGUGCUGUGGAGCUGGCACUGCUGCUAUAGGGAUGAGGUGAAGUAUGUGCUCCAUGUUCCAAGCUGCAGCAAGGACGGAGCCUGUCAGCACAAAACAAAGGUGUUAAAUGGUGAAAAGAAAUCUUGUCUUUUAAUCAAGCAAAUAUCAUACAGAGAAGAAGGAAGAAGGGCCAGGCCACAUCUUAAAUAAAGAAGGCAGCAGUGAGCUUUGACAAAUAUUAAAGAAUUCAAGUCAUCAGGAUCUGACAAAAUUCAUCCCAGGGUGCUGAAGCAACUGGCCAAAGAAAUCUCAGAGCCACUUGGAACAAUAUUUAAGUCACAGGUAACAGGUGGAGUCCCAAAGGACUGGAGACAAGCUAACAUGGUGCCCAUCUUUAAAAAAAAGGGAAAAAAGAAGGAUGGGGUAAAUCAAAAUGACUAUUCCAACUACAAUACAUGCUGGUAGUUGCAAACAGUAAGUUAAUAGCACAAAUUCAAUCAAACUGGGCAGAUCUUAAAACAGGGAUGGGCAACUAUUUUGGGUGGAGGGCCCCUUAGCAAGGUUUGAUGAGCUUUUGAGGGCCGCAGGGUAGACCCGCCCCUUGACAGUUGCCCCACCUCUUGGUUGCCAUCUUGGGACUGGAAGUCCCACCCCUAAUCCUUGACCUUUGCCACUGGAUGUCCCUCCCUUUGCCCCCCCAAAAUACUCCUUUUGGGAGAGGUUGUUGCCAUCUUAGAACCAGAAACCACCCCCCAAAUCAUUCACUAAAAGUCAAAUACCUAAUAUAACAUACUUAAAUUUUAUUACAAAAAAUAUUUUUGUCAUGUUUUGUGGUUGCAUACUGUAUAUAGAGGUGAUUGCAAAGUAACUCAAUAAUA